CUUGAACUUUGAUUGCAAAAAGCGGUGCUUUAGAGCAGAUUUUGGGCAAACACCAACAGUUGGAACAAUAAGAAGACUUCUGUAGAGAAAACAGGACUCUUGAUCGUGCAGCCAGAACUCUGCAGUGAUGUCUGUGAUCCAUGCUUUGAUCACCAUUCUGAUGCUUGUAGGACUGUCUCUGAGCCUUCCCGUCACAGCAGGUGGAGACGCUGUCAUGGAACUGCAGCGCUGCAGCAUGUGCUGCCAACGUCACUCGAGUAUAUUGUGAAGACAAGCCCAUCUUUGAAAACGACUCCGUUCCAGAUUGCUUUGGUCCUCCGGCCCUCGCACACGUCUGUCAGCACGAUGGUCGGGCUUUUGUGUCUGCUCCUAAAGGAGUCUGCUGUGAAUUUGAGGGAAUAGAUUAUAACAUUCCAGCAAAAACAUGUUCAGACCAGGAUCCAAUCUGUUCUUUACCUCCUGCUCCAACGUCAUCUCCAGUCACUUCAGACGGUGCAGGAUCCUCUGAAGGGACCAUCGUGGGACACGUUUUCUUAGCAGUAAUCUGUCUGAUCGUGGUUGGUUUGCUAAUUUCUUGUUGGAGACGACGCCAAUACAGCAAAAACCUACCUGCAGGGUAAUGAACGACAUCAAAAAUAACCCUGAUAUUUUUAACUAAUGUCACAUCACACAAACUAAUUUCAGGAAUCUUAAUGAGGAAAUGCAUUUAGGAGGAAUUCAGACCACUGGAGACAUCAGUGAGAACAAUCACGCUGAUGAACAACUGCAGCAAAUCAUCGUACCUCAACGUUGCCAUGGAGAUUAACGGGACAUUUUCAGCUGUGCGUUUCCGUUACAUUUAGUUUUUUUUUAUCUUCUGAUCUAAUUAAAUUGAACCUUAAAACAUAAACAAAGACAAAACCAAAGAACAAAUCUGC